AGGCUUGUGAUGAUAAAUGAUCAUUGGGCUGCAUUUGUCCUUAGCUAAUUUAUCCUUGGCCUAGAGAGAAAGUUUCUGCCUUUUUUUUUUUUUAAGAGGAAAGCUGGAAAGGUGCUUGAGGCCUAAUAACUUUGCUUGGUCUUUUUUGGGCACUGGGCCCUGCAUUUUCCACCUGGCAAUGCUGUGUGGGGCUUCUUCCAGGCACUCUGUGGGCCUCAUGCCGCCUGUGCUGGCCGGAGCCAGCGUGGCGAUCAGACGUCUGGGUGUGCCCGGCACGACCCCACCUCGCCGCUCCCCUGAGCUGUCCUUCCCCUGCAGAGGGGCCAAGAAGCACCCCUGGGAGGCCAUUAGUGUCAGCAAGAAAGGUGCGAAAACUGCGUUUUCUUCUUGAGUUCCGUGUUUCAGGGAGAGAAUCGUGAAGAAACAGACUAAAGGACUUUGUUGCAAGCUACAGUCAUGAAGAAGGACACGUGGGCUCUGCACCAGUCCCCGGCGCUGCCUGCGGCAUCUGAUUCUGCCGGCGCUGCCCGCUUAGCUUAUGGGUAUGCAGAAGAUCUGCAUCAUGGUUCCUGCUGAAGAAGGGAGUGUGUGGCUGUGUGUGUGUGGCUGUGUGUGUGUGCGUGUGCACAGGCAUGCACACACCUGUGUUUACAUGAACACAUAUGAAUA
rnacentral:lncRNA from 1 species